rnacentral:rRNA from 1 species
GACGAACGCUGGCGGCGUGCUUAACACAUGCAAGUCGAACGGAAAGGCCCUGCUUUUGUGGGGUGCUCGAGUGGCGAACGGGUGAGUAACACGUGAGUAACCUGCCCUUGACUUUGGGAUAACUUCAGGAAACUGGGGCUAAUACCGGAUAGGAGCUCCUGCUGCAUGGUGGGGGCUGGAAAGUUUCGGCGGUUGGGGAUGGACUCGCGGCUUAUCAGCUUGUUGGUGGGGUAGUGGCUUACCAAGGCUUUGACGGGUAGCCGGCCUGAGAGGGUGACCGGCCACAUUGGGACUGAGAUACGGCCCAGACUCCUACGGGAGGCAGCAGGGGGGAAUAUUGCACAAUGGGCGGAAGCCUGAUGCAGCAACGCCGCGUGCGGGAUGACGGCCUUCGGGUUGUAAACCGCUUUCGCCUGUGACGAAGCGUGAGUGACGGUAAUGGGUAAAGAAGCACCGGCUAACUACGUG